UACGUAGGGGGCUAGCGUUGUCCGGAAUCAUUGGGCGUAAAGAGCGUGUAGGCGGCUUGGUAAGUCCGCUGUGAAAGUCCAGGGCUUAACCCUGGAAAGCCGGUGGAAACUGUCAAGCUAGAGUCCGGAAGAGGUGAGUGGAACUCCUGGUGUAGCGGUGAAAUGCGCAGAUAUCAGGAAGAACACCAAUGGCGAAGGCAGCUCACUGGGACGGUACUGACGCUGAGACGCGAAAGCGUGGGGAGCAAACAGG
rnacentral:rRNA from 1 species